AUCAGAAAUAGGCGCGCAGACGCAGUAUGGAAACCUUAUUCCUCCACCACCACCCUCCUAUCAUCUUUUCUUCUGCUUCUUCCUCUCCUUUCUCUAUCCCCACUCUCAACAAACCCAAGCCCAAAUCCGAAAGGAACCAUCUUUCCUUCUCUCUUUAUUCUAAUUACAAACUCAUUAGAAUUUGCAGAGCCCUCCCUGAAAGCGGAACAAGAAGAAGACAACCAUUUUCAAAUGAAGAAAAACAAGAUCAAGAUCUAACCACCACAACUACUGGAAAUUCAAAUUCUGGUGUAAUAAUAUCCUCUUGCGUUGUGGGGGUCCUUACUGGAAUUGCUGUAGUUCUUUUCAAUAACGCUGUUCAUGAAAUUCGCGACUUUUUCUGGGAUGGAAUUCCCUACAGAGGUGCCUCCUGGUUGAGGGAGGAACCUCUCGAUUCCAUCUGGGUUCGGGUCAUCUUCGUCCCCGCUUGCGGUGGUUUUAUUGUCAGCUUCUUGAACGCCAUUUCAUUUCUUCUGUUCAAUGAUAAUCCUUUCCAGGCUGCCUUCCAUCCCUUCUUUAAGGCCAUGGCUGCUUGUUUCACACUCGGCACGGGAAAUUCCCUUGGCCCUGAAGGUCCCAGUGUUGAGAUUGGCUCUUCCAUUGCCAAAGGAAUUGGUUCUCUCACUCUUUCUUCUCGAGAUGCCCGAACCAAGCUCUCUCUUUUGGCUGCUGGCUCUGCUGCUGGAAUCUCUUCUGGAUUCAAUGCUGCUGUUGCUGGUUGUUUCUUCGCCGUGGAGUCUGUCUUGUGGCCGUCGUCGUUAGAUUCGUCUGCAUCUCUCACAAACACUACUUCCAUGGUUAUACUUAGCGCUGUAAUAGCUUCUGUUGUGUCAGAAGUUGGCCUUGGUUCUGAACCUGCCUUUAAGGUCCCAGAUUAUGAUUUCCGCUCCGUUGGUGGUAACUACUUUCCACACUCUAACAAUAAGACCCUUGCUUCUCUAUACUCGCAUCUUCUCUUGGGUUUAUAUGGUGCCACUGCCACUCCAACUUCAUCUGAAGCUAUUUCCAACAUCUUGAUUGAUUAUAUCUUAAUACUUGCCAUUCUUGUUGUCAUUGCUAAAGCCUUCUGUACUUAACAUUUUUAGGGGUUAAAAUUUUUCAUCAAGGACAGUGAGGCCACCACAUUAUUUUGAAGCUUCACUUUAUUGAUUGCUGAUGCUACUUUUGUCUAGAAUUACAUUGAAUACUCCAAGAAAUCUGAUCUUUUUUUGUAUAAUUUAAUAAUUAAUUAUAAUAGAAUGAACUUUGCCAACGGCCUUGAUAUUUAUAGAUGUAAACAUUUAGGCUUUGAUCAGAAAAUGAGGGUCUUUGCUCCUAAAGUUAUUCAUCUCAUUUUCAGAACUUCCGUUGUAUCUGUUGCUCGGUACCCUUUGCGGCUUGGUUUCAUUGGCCCUAUCCAGAUGCACAUCAUUUUUGUUGUUAAUUGUCGACAAUCUUCACAGGGAUGUUGGCAUACCGAGGGCUGUGUUUCCUGUACUGGGUGGCUUAGCAGUUGGGACAAUAGCAUUGGCCUAUCCUGAAAUCCUAUACUGGGGUUUUGAAAAUGUUGACAUUUUACUGGAAUCUCGGCCAUUUGUGAAAGGCCUCUCGGCUGGUCUACUGCUUCAGCUCAUAGGAGUGAAGAUAGUUGCUACCUCUUUGUGCCGGGCUUCUGGAUUAGUGGGGGGUUAUUAUGCCCCAUCCCUUUUUAUUGGUGCAGCAACAGGAAUGGCAUAUGGGAAACUGAUUGGUUUUGCAGUUGCUCAGUCUAGUCCAAUACUUCAACUUUCCAUCUUGGAAGUGGCAUCACCGCAAGCUUAUGGCCUGGUACCAUUCUUUGACACUAUUCUAUCAUCUAGAUAAUUUUUUUACACUUACAUUUUAAGGUCUUGAAUGCUUAUUUUUUGAGGAUAGUUUUUGUAACAUGUUUUUACAUUGUCCUACUAAUUUCAGAGAAGAUUUAGUGAAUGAAAACGCUUUCUAAAUAAACUUCAGACUUCCUAUAAUCUGACAAGUUGAUCAAAGAGAAACUAGGUGGUAUUUAGGUUUCACUUGUGAACCUGGCGUCUAUUUAAUGUAUCAAAGAGAAACCAGGUGGUAUUUAGGUUUCCCUUGUGAACCUGGCAUCUAUUUUAUGUCCAGACUUUAAUGUCAACAGUAAAACCUUCAUGUCGUUGUUGGAAUCUGUAAUGCCAUCAAGUUCAUUUUGUCUAGCUAUCAUUAUGAAAGUUUGGGAUUAACUCCUCUUCUGUUGUAAGGAUUGCAACAGGAUUUAAAUUUGUUGACUAGCCAAAGAGCCAUAACCCGGUAGGUCUACAGCUUAAGAAGGCACCUCUAGGGGGCAUGUUCCUCCAUCUCUGGGUGAAAUCUCGCAUUUAAAACUUGCAUCAGCACAUUUCUAGCCAGAGUGAGAAGUCUAAGAAUGUACCAUCACAGCGGGUGGUGGCCCCUACCCUUCUGAUUUCUGGCUAGCCUUCAAGAGCACUUUUCUCUUAACAUGGAUGCUAAAUAUGUGAUAUUUGUCUCACCCAUUUUCACUAAUUGAAUUUUGAUGAUUUAAAAGACACAUCUGUUUUUGUACCUAAUGUAGUUUAUCGCCUUUUCAGAAUUGGCCUUUGGCAAAGCAGCUGAUAACCUUCUGCACUUGCCAAUUCUGAAUUCUAACUUUUCAAUCGACUUGAUAGAUUAACAUACAGAAGUGUUGCUGACCCAAAAAAGCCAAAAGUUGAAGCACAUUUCAAUGUUGGCCACUUUUUUUUUUCAAUGAAAAAUAGUGGCUAUGAAUUUAAUAGUUGGUAACAGUUGUGGCCUGGAGUCAAUUUCCUCUCUAGGAAGUGUGACUUGCUGAUAUAAAGUAUGUUGAUAAAUUCCUAUGUUAACUGGGCUUUAAUUAAUAUUAUCCCACAUUUUUUAACGAUAUGAAAAAAUAAAAAUCCAUCAAACCAUGUGCCACCAUUUCCAUGAAAUAUUGGUCUUACUUUCCAUCUUUCUAGAGAUUCUAUCGACUACUGUUCUCCAUGCUGAGUCUCUUAAAGCAAGACAGAGAGAAACAGAGUACAAAACGAGAAGUACAAGCAAUUAAAGGAUCCAUCUGCAGUCCAUGGCCACAGAUUGGGGGACCAAAGUAAGCAUCGGUGAAAGCUCAAAGCAGACGAAGAACCAUAAAUUGAAUUUUAAAAAAAGAAAAAAACUCAUAAACAGAGGUUGGAUUGAUAGUGGAUCUUACGAUUCAUUCCCUCCCUCUCUCUUCUUAAUAUAUUUUCAAUACAAUGACCAAAGAACUGUGAAUUGACAAGGGAGAUCAUUGGUUCGUGAAAAUGAUGUUUGGUCUAAUGAAUUUUAAUUUUAUUUUUCAAUGACAUUAAAUAAUAAGGGAAAAUGCCUCCAUAGGCUCAGCCAAGCGAUGCACCUCUCAACUCGGUUAAGGUCCCAAGUCCAAGUUCAAUUCCCUUCUCUCCCCCUUUGUAACAAAAAAGUGGGAAAAUAUUAACCGAAGCUCAGGCAACAUGGUCUUAAACCAGUCAGCAAAUUUGUUAACCUAUACCAUGUUAAUGUGUCAUGUCAGCAAAGCAUGCUUCCGCAACUGAGAAGCUAACCAAAGGCCAAAAAUUGUUACCAAUAUGUUCAGUCAUUAUUAAUAAUUUUAAAAGAGAUGACCCAAAUUUAUAAAGUGCUUGUAGUUUUGCUUUUUUUGGGUCCUUAGUACCAAUAUGAUAUGGCUGGUUACUGGUAAUUUCGGAUUGCAGGUGGGAAUGGCUGCAACACUUGCCGGAGUGUGUCAAGUCCCCCUUACUGCAGUAUUGCUGCUUUUUGAAUUGACGCAAGACUAUCGUAUAGUUCUUCCACUACUAGGAGCUGUAGGGCUGUCUUCAUGGAUUACUUCUGGACAGAGUAGAAGAGAUGUCAAAGAGACCAGAAAAGUCAAUGAAGGAAAUGCUCUUCCAACUCAACAACCUGAAAUAUCUGUCAUACGUGGACUAUCUUCUGGUUAUGUACGUGCGGAAAAAGCUCCUUAUUCAAGCAACCUUUGUGAAAUUGAAAGUUCUCUUUGCGUAGAUGAUUCUAGUAUUGAAAAUGAAGGGUUCAAGAAGAGAAUUUUUGUUUCAGAAGCCAUGAGAACACAAUAUGUAACUGUUUUCAUGAGCACUUUGGUUACUGAAGCAGUAAGUCACAUGCUUGCAGAGAAGCAGUCUUGUGCAAUGAUUGUUGAUGAUGACAAUGUUUUAGUUGGUUUGCUGAAUCUUGGGGACAUUGAAGAUUUCAUUAAAACUGCAAAAGCAAAAGCUGAGAGACCCAAGGAGAUUUCAGUAUGUGACAUAUGCUCACUAGAUGUUGAAAAUUGUCAAGUACAAUGUACUGCUAAGCCUAGUAUGGACCUUUUCUCUGUGCAAAUCAUCAUGGAUACGUAUGGUCUGAGUCAGGUUCCAGUCAUUUCAGAGCAUGUUGAAGGACACAAAGGACACCCAGUUGGUCUUCUGGACAGAGAAUGUAUCAACAUAACUUGCAGAGCUAUUGCAACCAGAGAAUCCUUCUCAUAACACUCCAUGCCAUAAAAGCACAGCCACUAAAUGAAGAUGAAGAGUAAGCAUCUGUGUGAAUAUGCAUUGAUAUAUCAGAAAUUGAACUACCUACCUCCGUCAUUGAGUGAUAAACAUAGAUCCAGGGAUCCCAAAUGGGUCAGCAUUUCAAAGUGCUCCUGAAUCCAUCGGCAGGAAAGAGAGAAUUCCAGCUCAAGUGAAGAUUAGUGAUGAUCACGUUGUGCUUUAAGUUGCAGCUGGGCUAAUACAUAUGGGAAACAGGACUGUUCUUUUGUGAAGAGACUAACCCAGGGGACAUAAGUCAACUAUUAAGAGAUGUGGCAGGAUGAUAACUUAUGCACGCAGGGAUAUGAGCUGGACAGUUUUGAAGUCAUAAUUGUAUGCAAAUAAUAUCAGGAAAUCUCGAAAUAUAAUGUCCAUGGUGGCCAGUGUUGGAUUCUUGUUGCUGAAAGAUGAUAGGUAUGGAAAUUGUGCCCACGAUGGGGUAGUUCACAUUAUUUACAGAGAUUUUGAUGUAAAUUCAACUUGGAUUUUUGCUGCACUUCAUGUACCUGUUGUGGUUCGCUCAGCUUGCUUUGUCAACAAUUUAUCGAUGUCCUGGUAUGUCAGUGUGAUGCUGCUUUAGUUCAUGUCAACGGAGCUAGUUCUUGCAUCGCCCUUAACGAAAGGAUGCUGUUAAGAUACCCCAUAUAAAUUGUCCAAGUGAAUGCCAACAGCAGUACACAACAGUUUCUGCACAAGCUCUGAACAGCAAUAAUGGUAAGAAAAGCAUCAUAACACCCUUAACGUGAAAGAUCAAUUAAAGUUCCCUGUGAGAACCUAAAGUUAUUAAAUUAGUUCUUGAGAUUCACUCGAGUUUUCACAAUGUGAAUACAACUUGUUCCUUUAAAUAAUCCAUAUUGAAAACAAAAUCAUUUAGGUUCUCAUGGCUUGUAAAAGCUUAAGAUUAAUCCAUGAACCACUCAACAAUGCUUGCACAAACAAAUUAGCUGAUUUGGACUUAUGAUUUGUAGAACACAGAAUCAGAUGUCUUGUUCACAUUUUCACGUUCAAUCUUUACACUUGAUUCAUCAACUUGCAUUGGACCCGCAUCUAAUGCCUUAGUACUUGUGGUCUCAUCUGCUGUUGUUUCCGAGCCUCUAGGAUGCACAGCAAUUCCUUUCUGACUCUCCA
rnacentral:misc_RNA from 1 species